GUAGGUGGCAAGCGUUGUCCGGAAUUAUUGGGCGUAAAGCGCGCGCAGGCGGUUCUUUAAGUCUGAUGUGAAAGCCCACGGCUCAACCGUGGAGGGUCAUUGGAAACUGGAGAACUUGAGUACAGAAGAGGAAAGCGGAAUUCCACGUGUAGCGGUGAAAUGCGUAGAGAUGUGGAGGAACACCAGUGGCGAAAGCGGCUUUCUGGUCUGUAACUGACGCUGAGGCGCGAAAGCGUGGGGAGCAAACAGGGAUUAGAUACCCUGGUAGUCCACGCCGUAAACGAUGAGUGCUAAGUGUUAGGGGGUUUCCGCCCCCUUAGUGCUGCAGCUAACGCAUUAAGCACUCCGCCUGGGGAGUACGGCCGCAGGGCUG
rnacentral:rRNA from 1 species